rnacentral:rRNA from 1 species
UACGUAGGGGUGCAAGCGUUGCUCGGAAUUAUUGGGCGUAAAGGGUAGGUAGGUGGUCUCAUUUGUCAGGGGUGAAAUCCUUGGGCUUAACUCAAGAAGUGCCCCUGAAACGGUGAGACUCGAGUCCUGGAGAGGGUCGUGGAAUUCCCGGUGUAGCGGUGAAAUGCGUAGAGAUCGGGAGGAACACCAGAGGCGAAGGCGGCUACCUGGACAGGUACUGACACUCAACUACGAAAGCGUGGGGAGCAAACAGG